UGAGGAAUAUUGGUCAAUGGGCGAGAGCCUGAACCAGCCAAGUAGCGUGCAGGAAGACGGCCCUAUGGGUUGUAAACUGCUUUUAUGUGGGGAUAAAGUGCGUGACGUGUCAUGCAUUGCAGGUACCACAUGAAUAAGGACCGGCUAAUUCCGUGCCAGCAGCCGCGGUAAUACGGAAGGUCCAGGCGUUAUCCGGAUUUAUUGGGUUUAAAGGGAGUGUAGGCGGCCUGUUAAGCGUGUUGUGAAAUGUAGAUGCUCAACAUCUGAACUGCAGCGCGAACUGGCUGGCUUGAGUACACGCAACGUGGGCGGAAUUCAUGGUGUAGCGGUGAAAUGCUUAGAUAUCAUGAGGAACUCCUAUUGCGAAGGCAGCUCACGGGAGUGUCACUGACGCUUAAGCUCGAAGGUGCGGGUAUCAAACAGG
rnacentral:rRNA from 1 species